GAUGAAGAACGUAGCGAAAUGCGAUACGUAAUGUGAAUUGCAGAAUUCAGUGAAUCAUCGAAUCUUUGAACGCAUAUUGCGCUCUUUGGUAUUCCGAAGAGCAUGCUUGUUUGAGUAUCAGUAAACACCUCAACCUCUUCUUGAUUUUUCAAAAGGAGGGUGGACUUGAGCUAUCCCAACAACCUUUACCGGUCGGCGGGCGGCUUGAAAUGCAGGUGCAGCUGGACUUUUAUCUGAGCUAAAAGCAUAUCUAUUUAGUCCUCGUCAAACAGGAUUAUUACUUUUGCUGCAGCUAACAUGAAGGAUAAUUGUCCUCUUUGCUGACUGAUGCAGGAUUUUACGACACUUUAUGUGUUGUUCAACUCGAUCUCAAAUCAAGUAAGACUACCCGCUGAACUUAAGCAUAUCAAUAAGCGGAGGA
rnacentral:misc_RNA from 1 species